rnacentral:rRNA from 1 species
GACGAGCGCUGGCGGCGUGCUUAACACAUGCAAGUCGAGCGGUAAGGCCCUUUCGGGGGUACACGAGCGGCGAACGGGUGAGUAACACGUGGGUGACCUGCCCUCAGCUCUGGGAUAAGCCUGGGAAACCGGGUCUAAUACCGGAUAUGACUCCAUGACGCAUGUUGUGGGGUGGAAAGCCUUGUGCGGCUGAGGAUGGGCCCGCGGCCUAUCAGCUUGUUGGUGGGGUGAUGGCCUACCAAGGCGACGACGGGUAGCCGGCCUGAGAGGGCGACCGGCCACACUGGGACUGAGACACGGCCCAGACUCCUACGGGAGGCAGCAGUGGGGAAUCUUGCGCAAUGGGCGAAAGCCUGACGCAGCGACGCCGCGUGAGGGAUGACGGCCU